rnacentral:rRNA from 1 species
GUAGGUGGCAAGCGUUGUCCGGAAUUAUUGGGCGUAAAGCGCGCGCAGGCGGUUCUUUAAGUCUGAUGUGAAAGCCCACGGCUCAACCGUGGAGGGUCAUUGGAAACUGGAGAACUUGAGUACAGAAGAGGAAAGCGGAAUUCCACGUGUAGCGGUGAAAUGCGUAGAGAUGUGGAGGAACACCAGUGGCGAAGGCGGCUUUCUGGCCUGUAACUGACGCUGAGGCGCGAAAGCGUGGGGAGCAAACAGGGAUUGGAUACCCUGGUAGUCCACGCCGUAAACGAUGAGUGCUAAGUGUUAGGGGGUUUCCGCCCCCUUAGUGCUGCAGCUAACGCAUUAAGCACUCCGCCUGGGGAUACGGCCGCAAGGCUG